GGGGAUUUGGCUCAGUGGUAGAGCGCUUGCCUAGCAAGCGCAAGGCCCUGGGUUCGAUCCACAGCUCCA
rfam:Rattus norvegicus chromosome 11, whole genome shotgun sequence.